GCAUAUCAAUAAGCGGAGGAAAAGAAACCAACCGGGAUUGCCUUAGUAACGGCGAGUGAAGCGGCAAGAGCUCAAAUUUGAAAUCUGGUACCUUUGGUGCCCGAGUUGUAAUUUGUAGAGCAGUACUUUUGUUAUGGGCUUUGCCUAUGUUCCUUGGAACAGGACGUCAUGGAGGGUGAUAAUCCCGUAUGGCGAGGUGACCGUAGCUAUGUGAGUAUUGUUCGACGAGUCGAGUUGUUUGGGAAUGCAGCUCUAAGUGGGUGGUAUACUCCAUCUAAAGCUAAAUAUCAGCGAGAGACCGAUAGCGAACAAGUACAGUGAUGGAAAGAUGAAAAGAACUUUGAAAAGAGAGUGAAAAAGUACGUGAAAUUGUUGAAAGGGAAGGGCAUUUGAUCAGACAUGGUAGGUAGUGCCCUGUGCUCCUUGUGGGUGCGGGAAUUUCGCUGCUUACUGGGCCAGCAUGAGUUUUGGGGCCUCGACAAAGACGCUGUAAUGUAGCUUUGCACAUUGUGUUUAGUGUUAUAGACAGUGUUAAUGGGGGCACCUGGGACUGAGGUCUGCGACUUUUGUCAAGGAUGCUGGCAUAAUGGUUAAAUGCCGCCCGUCUUGAAACACGGACC
rnacentral:rRNA from 1 species